rnacentral:rRNA from 1 species
GACGAACGCUGGCGGCGUGCCUAAUACAUGCAAGUAGGACGCAGUUGCGAACGGGUGAGUAACGCGUAGGUAACUACCUAUUAGAGGGGGAUAACUAUUGGAAACGAUAGCUAAUACCGCAUACUAGUAGAUGGACCUGCGUUGUAUUUGCUAGUAGGUGGGGGAAAGGCCUAACUAGGCAACGAUACAUAGCCGACCUGGUAGGGGGAUCGGCACAACGUGGACUGAGAAACGGCCCAGACUUCUAAGGGAGGCAGCAGUAGGGAAUCUUCGGCAAUGGGGGGAACCCUGACCGCGCAACGCCGCGUGAGUGAAGAAGGUUUUCGGAUCGUAAAGCUCUGUUGUUAAGGAAGCGGUACUUAACCAGAAAGGGACGGCUAACUACGUGCCAGCAGCCGCGGUAAUUC